rnacentral:lncRNA from 1 species
CUUGACUCUUUCCGUGGCCCAGUUGACAGAGCGUUUCCCGGUGAGUAGAACGUCUCGGGUUCGAUCCCCAAUCGCGUCAUACCUUAAGACGUUAAAGAUGGUGCUGCGGAUCAGUCUACUGUGUAAGAGGGGGGUAUUCAUGAUAAUCCUCCCCGUGAUAUCUAAAUGGGAUAUCAUUAUGAUAUCGACUUUAGUCCGGACGAACACGCACACACGCACGUACGCACUCAUAUAUGCACGCACUCGUCGCUAAAUGAAAUAUUAUUGAACCUGCCUGAACUGUUCGGCUGAACUCAGCUUUGGCUCCAAGGCUCCGACAUGGCUGGACUGUUUCUGAAGGCUGCUGCUAAAGGUCUUCUCCCUUCAACUAUGACGUCAUAUAAGCCUACCUCAUUGUAGACAUUUGGUUCAAAGUGUUUGCACUUAGACAGACAUGGAGCUGCUGGAAAAUAGUUCCAGAAGCACCAUUGUUAAUGAAAGGUAUCUGAUCUGGAAUCAUCAUGUGGAUUAAAGGUAUCUGAUCUAGAAGUAUCAUGUGGAUUAAAGGUAUCUGAUCUAGAAGCAUCAUGUGGAUUAAAGGUAUCUGAUCUGGAAUCAUGUGGAUUAAAGGUAUCUGAUCUAGAAGCAUCAUGUGGAUUAAAGGUAUCUGAUCUAGAAGCAUCAUGUGGAUUAAAGGUAUCUGAUCUGGAAUCAUCAUGUUGAUUAAAGGUAUCUGAUCUAGAAGCAUCAUGUGGAUUAAAGGUAUCUGAUCUAGAAUCAUCAUGUGGAUUAAAGGUAUCUGAUCUAGAAUCAUCAUGUGGAUUAAAGGUAUCUGAUCUAGAAUCAUCAUGUGGAUUAAAGGUAUCUGAUCUGGAAUCAUCAUGUGGAUUAAAGGUAUCUGAUAUAGAAGCAUCUUGCGGAUUAAAGGUAUCUGAUCUAGAAGCAUCAUGUGGAUUAAAGGUAUCUGAUCUAGAAUCAUCAUGUGGAUUAAAGGUAUCUGAUCUGGAAUCAUCAUGUGGAUUAAAGGUAUCUAAUCUAGAAGCAUCAUGUGGAUUAAAGGUAUCUGAUCUAGAAGCAUCAUGUGGAUUAAAGGUAUCUGAUCUAGAAUGAUAAUGCGGAUUAAACGUAUCUGAUCUAGAAUCAUCACGUGCAUUAAAGGUAUCUGAUCUAGAAUCAUCAUGUGGAUUAGAGGUAUCUGAUCUGGAAGCAUCAUGUAUCUGAUAUAGAAGCAUCUUGCGGAUUAAAGGUAUCUGAUCUAGAAUCGUCAUGUGGAUAAAAGGUAUCUGAUAUAGAAGCAUCUUGCGGAUUAAAGGUAUCUGAUCGAGCACCACCGUGUGGAUUAAAGGUACCUGAUCUGGAAGCACCAUUUGGAUUAAAGGUAUCUGGUCUGGAAGCACCAUGUGGAUUAAAGGUAUCUGGUCUUGCACAUUGCGGAUUAACGAUGUUCGGCCAAACUGCAAUAUUAUAGAAAAUACAUUGUCGUUACAAACCUGUUACUGCAGUAUGGCGAUCGUCUACCUUCUGUAUGUUUCAAGGGGAAAAAAAGUUUUAUAUUAUUUUUGUUACGAUGACACAGGUCACGAAUUGAUGAAUUCCCACCAUCAUAUGUCAAGCUUAAAUUCACGCGGAAGUGAUAAUUCCGGCACUGAUUGAUGUGUCCUAAUGUAUGGGAGAUGUUUACAUCGCUGGUGAACUCUCACCAUGUGUUGUUCCAUGUAUCACUAGUGAUGCCUGUUGACACUCUAUCCCGAAGAUCCGGGAACCGAUAGAGCAUCUGGGGCGGUGGGGUAGCCUAGCGGUUAAAGCGUUUCGUCACGCCGAAGAUCCAGGUUCGAUUCCCCACAUGGGU